rfam:Callipepla squamata strain Texas jcf7180005234357, whole genome shotgun sequence.
UGAGUCUCGAUGAUGAAGCUUUUCUGACUGCUGCAUUAAGCCGAGUGCGCUGUGCGGAUGCCAACCUUGGAGAGCUGAGGACUCA